rnacentral:rRNA from 1 species
GUGCCAGCCGCCGCGGUAAUACGUAGGUGGCGAGCGUUGUCCGGAAUUAUUGGGCGUAAAGCGCGCGUAGGCGGGAUAUUAAGUCUAUUCUAAAAGUGCGGGGCUCAACCCCGUGAUGGGAUGGAAACUAAUAUUCUUGAGUACCGGAGAGGAAAGCGGAAUUCCCAGUGUAGCGGUGAAAUGCGUAGAUAUUGGGAGGAACACCAGUGGCGAAGGCGGCUUUCUGGACGGUGUCUGACGCUGAGGCGCGAAAGCCAGGGGAGCGAACGGGAUUAGAAACCCUUGUAGUCC